rnacentral:rRNA from 1 species
UACGUAGGGUGCAAGCGUUGUCCGGAAUUAUUGGGCGUAAAGAGCUCGUAGGCGGUUUGUCGCGUCGAAUGUGAAAGCCCGAGGCUUAACCUCGGGUCUGCAGUCGAUACGGGCUAGCUAGAGUGUGGUAGGGGAGAUCGGAAUUCCUGGUGUAGCGGUGAAAUGCGCAGAUAUCAGGAGGAACACCGGUGGCGAAGGCGGAUCUCUGGGCCAUUACUGACGCUGAGGAGCGAAAGCGUGGGGAGCGAACAGG